rnacentral:ribozyme from 1 species
CCCCCGCCGCAGGUGUGGACGGCAAUUGGGCUUGCCCGGAGUGCCAGAACGU